AGUUUCGACUUGCUGAGUCACUUUGCCAAUCUUUGAUGAUAUUAAACUUAACAUGUCUUAAUGUGAUAACUGAUGACGUUUUUGUGUCAAAUUCAAAAUGGGACAUUCAACAUUUUUCCUGUUAAGCAGGAAUGUGCUUCCGUAGCGUAGCACAUAAAUAUCAAAUGCAAAUGUGUUGUUCUUAAAAGUGGACGAAAACAGAAUUCUACUUUCAAAAAGUAAUGGAAUUGAGAAAAAAACUGUGACUGUGCGUUUCUAAAAGCUUUGUUACAAUAUUUGUUAAUAUUUAAAUGUAAAAUAUUUUUUUAUUUGAUUGCAUUUCACGUUUUAGAUGAAAACGUAGACUUUUUCUUUCGGGGAACAGUGGGUGAGGAUUCUUUUUCGUACCACAAGAGGGAGCCCACGUACCUGCACCACUCUGACAAUCACUGCUCACUACAUCAAACAAACCGAACAUCACUCGUAUGGCAUACAAAACUUUGAAGCAAUAAUUUUGAAAGCUGACGCGACAAGCU